UGGGGAAUAUUGCACAAUGGGCGCAAGCCUGAUGCAGCCAUGCCGCGUGUAUGAAGAAGGCCUUCGGGUUGUAAAGUACUUUCAGCGGGGAGGAAGGGAGUAAAGUUAAUACCUUUGCUCAUUGACGUUACCCGCAGAAGAAGCACCGGCUAACUCCGUGCCAGCAGCCGCGGUAAUACGGAGGGUGCAAGCGUUAAUCGGAAUUACUGGGCGUAAAGCGCACGCAGGCGGUUUGUUAAGUCAGAUGUGAAAUCCCCGGGCUUAACCCGGGAAUUGCAUCUGAUACUGGUCAGCUAGAGUCUUGUAGAGGGGGGUAGAAUUCCAUGUGUAGCGGUGAAAUGCGUAGAGAUGUGGAGGAAUACCGGUGGCGAAGGCGGCCCCCUGGACAAAGACUGACGCUCAGGUGCGAAAGCGUGGGGAGCAAACAG
rnacentral:rRNA from 1 species